rnacentral:tRNA from 1 species
AAAGUCGUGGCCGAGUGGUUAAGGCGAUGGGCCGAAAUCCAUUCGGGUCUCCCCGCACAGGUUCGAAUCCUGUCGACUGCG